GCAUACUCAUUCAAUACCCCCGCUUUCUACGCACCAAGAGCGCUCGGCACCCUGCAAAAAUGUUCGACAUCUACAUCACCGUCCUGGCGGCCGUGGCCUACGUCAUCUUCUUCGCAAACUGUUCCUACUUCUUGAUGUACUUCUCCCACGAGGACGACAACAACUCCGCCUACCUCCCAAAAGUGGUCGUCGUUCUAGGCUUGACAACCGCCGCGACCUUCAUCUUCCUAUUCCCCAUCGACGUCAUGAACAGGGACUCCAAAAAAAACGGCAUACCGAUGGACAUCCUCUUUUUUUCCGUCCUGUCAACAAUCAUCCUCCUGACGUUCUUGCUGAUCCCCUUCGCCUACUUCUACUAUUCGGAAUGGGACCCCGACAAGCCAAAGAGAGCGCUGAAGUUCGCUAUCAUAGGAUGUCUGGCCUGUUCCAUUCUCUUUGGAGCCCUCACCGCCCUGAGCUACAUCUUUCUCAACAACGUGAGCAUAGACUACGACAUUCAGACCUCCGACCUGGUGGCAGGAUCCAGACAACCUGACACCACCCCCCUGUCAGGAGUGCAACUGGAAAGCCAGAUCGACCAGCCUGUCCGUCAAAACCUCCUUCCUCAUUCAAAUGCUGAACAUCAUGUGCUUCUUCGGUACAAUCUUGUUCAGCGUUUUCUGCGGUAUCGGACUCAUAACGGCUCCCUACGACUUCUUCAACGCCUGGUACAAACGCCCAGAAAAAAUUAAUAAUAAAAAAUUCGAAGAGCUAAAAGUUGUCAUCGGUAAAAGGGCCGACGACCUCAUAUCCAAAGCCGUUAAAUUCAACAAAAAACCGCCAAAAACAAAAGUCUACAACGAAUGGAGAAAAGAAGUCUACCUCCUCGAAGAAGAUUGGGAAAGAACCGUUGAAGCACACAAACCUGAUGGAAUCCGUGUAUUGUGGUACUGGUUUUGUCUCUUUGUCGGCGUCAUCGGCGCUCUGCUGAGCAUCAGCAUCAUUCUGAAUCUCAUCCUCAGCAGGCUUCUGGACGUGACGAUGUUCCUGAACGUGAUAUUCGUAAACAUAAGCGGCUUUCAAAACAUCCUGGGCGUCAUCGUCUUCAUAUUGUACGCAGUUUGGCUGCAAGUAUGCGUCAUCAACGGAAACCUCAACUUCGGCAUCCACGUCCCCUUCUUUUUCAGCAUUCAUCCCAUGAAGGCAUCUGGAACACUAAUGAACUCGUUUUUGUUCAACACGGGACUUAUCUGCAUGUCAUCUGUCGCGCUCACGAAAUUUUGCGUUGUCAACUUCUACGAAUACGUCCACGACACUUACACUUACACCAUCUUCAACGUGACGAUCGAAAAUCUCAAGAUCUUCAAAUACGUCUGGAUCGUCUGCGACUGGGCAAUUGUUGGGCUGUCUUUAUUGACCGUUCUAAUUUUGCUCAUCAAAUCCUGCUGCGGCAAAUAAAAAAAAACAUUCGGCGCAUUCGUCUUGCAGACCGUCCACCAUAAGUUUUGGCCGGACUUUUUUCAUUGCGCUUUGUUUUUAUGGGCGUGCCAACCCGAACACGGCGGAGUCGUAAAUUUAGCUUCACUGACUGCCCAUCUCUUCGGAGUCGCGGUCUUGAUAGCAAGCGCGUGUACGCGUAUGUCCUCCCCGAGCACCGAAUUCACCAAGCGAUGCUGCUCAACGACAGGCAAGUCCUUGAACUUCUCGGAAACAAUCGUCACCUAAAAGAAAAAAAAAUAAAGAAUUAGCCACCUUGAUACACCCAUUCCACGAACCCAUAGCGCACCUUGAAAUGCGUCUCUGUGCCCCUCGAAAAGCUGUGCUUAUGACUCUCGUCAACCACCUCUAUGUAAACCGGAUCGAAGUAAUCGGUCAGCCUUCGUUGAAUGUCGUCUCGCACCGACCUGUCAGGCAUGGACGAUGAGCGCCUCAGUUCCUGGUAGACCCAACCCCUCCGAGCGCGAAGCCUCGCAACGCUCCGAAAACUCAACAUCAUAAAGCCAAAACUAAACUUUUUUUGAGCACCGUCUUACUCAUUUUUUCGGUCAAAAUGUUGCAGGCAACUCGAUAUUUUCGCGCGUAUGGGAAAGUCCAGCAAGUCAUGUUUCGACAGACCCUGAUCCGCGCAGCCAUUAAGAGAAAAAUUGAGGCAGGCGCUACCAACCUCAAAUCAGAUCGCACCAUCGUCGAAUUCACUCUGUUUGGCGACAACUCAUCCAUAGACCAGCUGAUCUCAGAUCUGAGAAAUACCAAACCACUCAACAGUUGGGGCGCAGAGGUAUGACAGUUUUUUUUUUUUUAUAAUUUUCUGAUAAACCUGUCGAAAGUGUACCAAAGUGGAGGAAUUCGAACAAGGCAUGCCCAUCUCGGAGCAUAAAGUAAACACGAAGAACGUGGACACCUAUAACUGGAAACCGGUAGACAUGUACAUCUAGCGUGCCUGGAGACGCCAGAUUAUCCGCGAGAGCCAACCUCGAGACCAAACGUCACCACAGUCCGCAACCCCAAAAAUACAACAGACAAACCCAAAAUGUGCGUCGAGACGUCAGAGCCAAAAUGUGCAAAUCGCCACGUACAUUCGCAACACAAAAUAACGCACUGAAAAAAGGUAAUCCUGACAUAAGAAUAAUGUACAAAUUCGAUUAAAGGCAUAGUCGCAACAAGUACAAGAUUCAA